CGUGUAGGCGGGUCGGAACGUCGGCCGUUGAAAUCCCCCGGCUCAACCGGGAAGGGCGCCGAUACGACCGACCUGGAGCGACGUAGGGGGAACUGGAACUUCCGGUGGAGCGGUGAAAUGCGUUGAGAUCGGAAGGAACGCCCGUGGCGAAAGCGAGUUCCUGGACGUCGGCUGACGCUGAGACGCGAAAGCCAGGGGAGCGAACG
rnacentral:rRNA from 1 species